GACGAACGCUGGCGGCGUGCUUAACACAUGCAAGUCGAACGAAGUGGCGAACGGGUGAGUAAUACGUGGGUAACCUGCCCUCCUUUUUGGGAUAAGCCUUGGAAACGGGGUCUAAUACCGAAUAAAGGGGGAUGGGCUCGCGGCCUAUCAGCUUGUUGGUGGGGUGAUGGCCUACCAAGGCGGUGACGGGUAGCCGGCCUGAGAGGGUGACCGGCCACAUUGGGACUGAGACACUGCCCAGACUCCUACGGGAGGCAGCAGUGGGGAAUAUUGCACAAUGGGCGGAAGCCUGAUGCAGCGACGCCGCGUGGGGGAUGACGGCCUUCGGGUUGUAAACUCCUUUCACCAUCGACGCGGUAGAUGGAGAAGAAGCACCGGCUAACUACGUGCCAGCCGCCGCGGUAAUAC
rnacentral:rRNA from 1 species